rnacentral:rRNA from 1 species
AUGUUGCUGCGGUUAAAGGCUCGCAGUUGAAUGUCAGUUAAUAUACGCGUAGAGGUGCCGGGACGUUGCAAGCUUCGGUUUUCGGACCUUAGUGAGCCGUCUCUCCAAGUGCAUCUCUCGCGGGCUAACAAUUCGAUUAGCAGGUUAAGAGUUGUGAUGGUUCGCUGUUACUUCUCUGUCCCGCUAGUUGACACCUUGAGUAAAUCAGAGUGCUUAAAGCAGUCGUUGCAACACUACGGCUGCGACUACCCUCGCGGGCAAGUCGUAUGUCUGGUGACGGCGAAAGCCGUUUGGACAUUGUCUUUGCUUUGCAUGGUACGUCGGAAGACGCCGUGUAAGUUGGUUGCGCUUACGGUGUGUCACACCUCGUGUGUGCGCGUGCACCAACGAGCACGGAAUGAUAUGAAAGGGAUGGAUCGAAGGCAUUGGUAUUGCGAGGCGAGAGGUGAAAUUCUAUGACCCCCGCAAGACUACCCGAAGCGAAAGCGUCUGCCUAGGACGUCUUCAUUAAUCAUGAACGAAAGUUGAAGGAUCGAAGGCGAUCAGAUACCGCCCUAGUUGCAACUGUAAACGAUAUCAACCAUCAAUCCGUCAAAGCGUUCCCUUGCGCUCACGGAGGCGAGUCCGCUCUCUUCGUGAGCUAAGUGUAAGCGCUCGAUGGGCAGCUCUUUUCGGACGGAAAACCAGAGUGUUUCGGUUCCGGGGGGAGUCUGGUUGCAAAGCUGAAACUUAAAGGAAUUGACGGAAAGGCACCACCAGGCGUGGAGCUUGCGGCUCAAUUUGACUCAACACGGGAAACCUUACCAGACCCGAACAUCUUUGAUGAUUGACAGACUGAAAGCUCUUUCUUGAUAAAGUGGAUGGUGGUGCAUGGCCGUUCUUAGUUGGUGGAGUGAUCUGUCUGGUUAAUUCCGAUAACGAACGAGACUCUCCCCUGCUAACGGACCUUUGGUUCUUUUAGACGGUGUGAUUCGGUGCAAGGACCCACGGGCGUAAGCCCCGGGACCGGACGAUGUCCACUGAUCCUUGACGCGUCGGUUGUGCAUGCUUGCGUGCGCGGCUUCGGUUGUGCGUGCUCGUGUGUGCUUUCGACAAAGCGUCUCGGAGUUCUUUUCUUCUUAGAGGGAUUGACGACUCAUAAGUCGUAAGAAACAGGGAGCAAUAACAGGUCUGUGAUGCCCUUAGAUGUUCUGGGCUGCACGCGUGUUACAAUGCCGGUAUCAACGGGUUAUUACACUUUCCGUGGCCUACUCUGAAAAGAGUGGGUAAACCUGUGAAAUACCUAGUGCGAUUGUCUCACGAUAUCGCAAUUUUGGCAUGCUUGGGACUGGGGAUUGCAAUUAUUCCCCACAAACGAGGAAUGCCUAGUAGUGGCGAGUCACAGAGCUCGCUGCGACUCUGUCCCUGCCCUUUGUACACACCGCCCGUCGCUACUACCGAUUGAGUGUACCAGUGAGAUUUUUGGACUGGCGAACCGCAAGCUUUCGGGCUAGCGGCGAACGACACGAAGAGACUCGAACUGGUGCACUAGAGAA